UCCAAUUGAAGAGCGGCUAAGGAAACUGUAGUCAUUCGCCGGCCGGCUAAAGCGAGAGUUCAAGCUGGCCCGGCUGUGGAAUGCUGGGAUAGAGGGGGAGCCUCGUUCCCUCCAGCAGGCUACUUGGGCCAGCACGCUGACGACCCUGUCAAGUUCCCCGCCGUUUUUCAAUCGGGAGGAAUUUCUCCUGCUUUUUUGAAGGGAGUCUGUUGCAGAGGAUUGUUGGUGUUAAUGUGGUCGAUUCCAAAAUAUGCCAACACCUGCCGACAGUGUCCUGCAGGGGGACAUCCAGAAAUGACUGUCAGCGGCAAGUGUCUGCAGUUCCCGCAAAGAGGCCGUUUGUGUGCGGCCUCCGAUCCCAGAGCCGUUCCUGAGGCCCGGAGCACCUGUCUCACAGGAGGCCAGGAGGUCGCACUGAAGAGGGCAGCUGAGCUUCCCCAGGCACAAUGCCAGAGAGAGGGGCCUAACCCCCACCGCCGACCAGCCCCACAGCGGCCCACCAGCCACUCUGGAGACCACCUGACUCAAGCGCCUCAGAGAAAGCACACACGCAGGCAGCCCGUCAGGUGGUGCUCGGGGUCUGAGUGGAACUCACCCCCUGUGGCUCCCCGAGGGAGCAACCGCCGCCAAGGUGAGAGUGACGUCAGGGGAGAGAGAAGAGCGUGAUCGCUUCCGCUAGCGCUAACGACUUUAUCAGAAAUAAGGUCGUCAAAAACAGGUUGUCUUCGACUCCCGACACUUAAAUGUUGAAUACUGUCACAGCCUUCAGUACUAUGGAACACUGAAUUUAAUAUUGUCAGGUUUUCUGCAAAGAGUUGAAGAAAUGACAUUUAAAACAUACUGUAUUACAGG